CCUGUCUGCUAACCAGCCUGCCUGCUGAGCAGCCUGUCUGCUGAGCAGCCUGCCUGCUGAGCAGCCUGUCUGCUAACCAGCCUGCCUGCUAACCAGCCUGUCUGCUAACCAGCCUGUCUGCUAACCAGCCUGCCUGCCACUCACCCAAUCUGUCUGCCUGCUCAUUGUCUCAACUCUACCCCUAUACCAACCCUAGUGCUACGACUACGAUACGACUACGACACAGCCACAGCGCCUAGCAACUACCGACAGAGCCACUACAACAAUCUUUACCACUAUAGCCUUGUCCAAGGGCCCUCAAUGCACCUUACAACGCUUCACGGAUUGUCUCAAAACACCCAUCAAUCCGAUACUCAAAGGUGAGGGCUCGGUGGUGAUUGGCUGAGCCCUGGGCAGGGUCGACACCGCCGCUGCCGCCCCGAGGGCAGUGCUCCCCGGGCCGGGCAGACGUGAAGACCUCCGCAGCUCACUCUCGCGUUCCAGGAAUUCUGACACCUGUGCUGUACCUCAGCUGUACCGACCUCGCCUGUCAACUUGUCUACCCCUUGGAAGCUACCAGGCUACGAAAGAAGACUGCAGACUCAAGGUAAGUCUCCUUGUGGUAUAUUUAACAUAUUAUCUGCAUGGAGGUGAUGCCAUUACGCGAUAGGGACGUUAAAUGCAAACUACACGACCUUACGUUGAUAAGUUAAAAUGAUCACUACG